UGACAUGUAUUUCAUUUUAUUCAAUACAUAACGGGGAAGCUGCUAAACCCAGCAGUCCAAGCAACGUCCAAAUAAGCAUUAAUAAUGUGGUGAAUAACUGAUCAUCACUAGAUGGUUUUCAGCAAGAUAAAGGGUUUUCCCUCCCCCUUUUAAAAAUAUCCUCAGAGUUGGGAAACAAAGAGGCAGAAGUUAAGACUGCUGCCUGCUACCUCCCACGAUGGGCACACAUCUGCAAGUGCCAACCUGGCUGAGCCCGUCCUCGUGCACCACAGAUUUCUGCACUGCACCAGGAGAUUGCAGCAGCACAGCAGGUGGAGCGAGGGGCUCAGGGAGAACCAAUUAAUGUGGACUGUGCUUCCCAUUUUUCAAGUUAUCUGCAGGCUGCAGGGCCUUUCUGAAGAAACAGAGGAACAAGAAUGAGAAAGCCAAAGCAGUGACAUAACAGGAAAACGAGCCAUUCCUUCAGCUUCUCGAUCAUGCAGUGGCACCCUGCUGCUAACACAGUUAUCCUUGCUGCUUCUUCUUUAGUAAAAACACCAAGAACAAAACCCA